rnacentral:rRNA from 1 species
AUUGAACACUGGCGGCAUGCUUUACACAUGCAAGUCGAACGGUAACAGGGAGCUUGCUCCGCUGACGAGUGGCGAACGGGUGAGUAAUGCGUCGGAACGUGCCGAGUAGUGGGGGAUAACGCAUCGAAAGGUGUGCUAAUACCGCAUACGAACUGAGGUUGAAAGUGGGGGACCUUCGGGCCUCACGCUAUUCGAGCGGCCGACGUCUGAUUAGCUAGUUGGUGAGGUAAAGGCUCACCAAGGCGACGAUCAGUAGCGGGUCUGAGAGGAUGAUCCGCCACACUGGGACUGAGAAACGGCCCAGACUCCUACGGGAGGCAGCAGUGGGGAAUAUUGGACAAUGGGCGGAAGCCUGAUCCAGCCAUGCCGCGUGUGUGAAGAAGGCCUUUUGGUUGUAAAGCACUUUAAGCGAGGAGGAGGCUACCUGGAUUAAUACUCUAGGAUAGUGGACGUUACUCGCAGAAUAAGCACCGGCUAACUCUGUGCCAGCCGCCGCCGUAACAC